GUGUCGAUAGUGCAGUUGGUUAGCGCGCGCCCCCGACAAGGGCGGGAUGUUGGUUCAAUUCUGCUUGACGUCA